ACUGGGAGGCCGGACCAGGGGGCGGUGGGGGGAUGUUGGUGGUCCGUUAAGUGGCGUUGAGGUCCAGCGCCGGUGGCAGCGCUUUCUUUUCUUCUCACGCGGAGCUGCUCAGCUCUUGCCGCUGCCUCGGUCGCGAUGGGGGCGCAGGACCGGCCGCAGUGCCACUUCGACAUCGAGAUCAACCGAGAGCCGGUUGGUCGCAUUAUGUUUCAGCUCUUCUCAGAUAUAUGCCCAAAAACAUGCAAAAACUUCCUUUGCCUAUGCUCAGGGGAAAAAGGCCUUGGGAAAACAACUGGGAAGAAGUUAUGUUAUAAAGGUUCUACAUUCCAUCGUGUGGUUAAAAACUUUAUGAUUCAGGGUGGGGACUUCAGUGAAGGUAAUGGAAAAGGUGGAGAAUCGAUUUAUGGUGGAUAUUUUAAAGAGAAUGUGGUCUUUUGCAAAAUGAAAAGGUAAGAGAACGAAGCUCAGUAACACAAACUCCAAUUCUGUUCCCUUCCACCCUUCCUGAUAAAUUUAUGGACAGUCUGGGUCAGGUUGUGUCUGGAUUUCUUAUAUUGCUUGAAGACUUGGGAAAUUCUGUAUACUAUUUCACACAUGCAUCUGUAUCCUUAUUUUUCUUUUCCCAGUGGGUUAUUAAUUCCACAUCAGGGAAAAGAAUCCGGUUGUGUUUUGUUUGUUUUUUUCUCUAAACCAAGCAAUUUCUUUGAAUAAAAGUUGGUAUUUCUUCCUUUGUCAAAGGUUUGUAUGUCUUUUACAUGCUAGAACUAUAUGAUUGUUUUAUUCCUACAGUAGUAUUUACUUAAAUCUAACUAUUGCACUUGCCCCAAAAAGCCUUAGAAAAGUCAGUUGCAGAGAUUUAUAAUGGGAUCCAAUAUUACUAGGUUUUCAUGCCAUAUAGCUUCAGUGUUAUAAUAGUCUUUUAUAUUUCUUUUGGGGGAAAAUGGAUUACUACUCUUUUUCAGAAGCCUGUUCCCAAGGUAAUCUUCUUUUUAAAGUUUUCUGUGUUUUUGUUUGUUUUAAAGAAAGAUUUGUUUGUAUGAAUGUUAAAAGGAAAUUUAAAUUAGUUUUGGGGAUAUUUCUGUUGGAAUUAAAACCAUCUCUUAAGUGAUAUUUAUGAUGGCAUUUUUUCCAUUGAACUAGUAGGAAACAGCUCUUUAGCUGAUUCUAUUAGCAUGUAGCAAGUUGAAACUAAUAACUGUAGUCUACUUUAAUGUGGUUUUUCUCUGUGGCAGAAACUUGUAUAUAGUAAAACUGUUUUCUGCUACUUAAAUUUUUGCUUUUAUGGAACUUUUUCCUUAGAUAAUUUUUGAUCCUAUUGAUUAGAAGGAAUCCACAUACUUAAUUUAGUUUAGGCGUGUCCCUACAACUUAAUUUAUUGUAAUGUUUUGGUUUUUGCUCUCGUAGUCUAGCAUCAAUUUAGUUGAGUUUAUCCAUGUAGAAAUUAAACACCUAAGAGAUUAUUAAACUCCUACGUUUAGUAAACGCAUUAUGCAGGAUAAUUGGAAAUUUGGAAGAAAUGAGCUUUACUAUAAACGUUUUUCUAAAAUUUCCUUUCUAGUUUUCCCUGAAAGUUAAUAGUUUAAAUAUCAAUCAGUGAAAGUAUGUUACUACUAAAAGUGACUAUUCUAAGGCUGUUUGUAAAAAGUAUUAAAUGUAUAUUCUUUUCCUCAAGGCUAAGUAGUAAUAAGUAGUAUUUUUUGGUCUUUUUAUGCUUUUGUUAUUUAUUUAGUUAAAAGAAUUUUUUCAAAAUACUCAAUCAAGUAUCUGUAACUGACCAGAAGAGGAAUUUCAUCCUUUGCUUUCUAUUUAUUACUGUGAACAUAACACUUUAAAAGUGGCUUAUAAUUGGAGACUGACAAAUUUGUGUUUUCUUCAAACAGAUGAAAACUUUAUUCUCAAACAUGACAGAGCGUUCCUUUUGUCAAUGGCAAAUCGAGGGAAACAUACCAAUGGUUCCCAGUUUUUCAUGUGAGUAGGCAUAAUUCAGAGAUAAACUUUUCUUAAACAGAGAAGCGCUGUUCAUGAGAAAGAUGGAAUAGUUAAGCCAAGUUAAAUGCUGUUAAUUCUGUCAACUUGGAUUUUAUUAUGUGAUAGUAAUUGGUAAACUCUUAACAACCAUCUCAGCAAAUAUUCUGCAUUUUAAGAAUGGUACUUAGAAAGGCACUUGAAGAGGUACAUUAUUUUUCAAAAUAUGUUAUCAUCUUAAAAGAAAUUGACUUUGACUCUUAACAAGUUUGGGGGCUCAGUUUAUCAAGGCUAGAUUGGAGAAUAAACUGUUGAUUAACAUUUAAAAAUUGUUCAUGCCUAUGGCUAGAUGUACCUUUGGCAUGGAAGACAGUUGGUUUGAGUAAACCAUAGUAUGUUUGCUUUUUCCUUUUACUGUUGCUGUUUGAGUCAGUUUGAGAGAGGUGCCAUUAUUUCUUGACAAUGUAUAGAGAUAAAUGAUUUGGUGUUAAGCCAGCAUUGUCAAAAAUAUAAACUUUGUGAGAUCUCUAUUCAUAAUUGAAUUAACCCAAUGUUGCUGUCAUUUCUGCCAAAAUUUAUGAGAUUAUCACUUAGAAAACUUCGGAAUGCUAAGUUUGUAUUUUGAAAAACAAAUACCUUUACAUGUACAUGUAUACACAACCAAAACCUUACUUAUUUUUCAUCUGAAAGACCUUUGGCAUAAUUUUAGUUAUAUUCUUAUCUAAAGCUACUCUAAAACCUAUUUUUAUUAUAAUCACAUGAUAUAGAAAGAUAAUUGCCUAGCAUAGAGUUUAAUGCUUUUGAUUGGAAAUAAAUCUCUAUAGUUGUGCUAUGUAUGUUGGAAAAAUAUUUUAUCCAUGGUUUACCAGAAAAAAGUUUUGUCAUCUUUCUGAAUGAACGAGUAUGAAUGGCGCUUCCCUGUCUUUAAAGGAGUGAAUUAUUCAUAUAAAAGAAACUUCUCAUUUUAAGUUUAUGUGAAAAGUAGAUUCCAACAUGAUCUGAUAAAGUUCAGAUAAGGGGCAUUCUGUUCCUAAGAAUGUCCUAAAAAUGGAAAGCUGGUAGAAGAUAAUAAUGCUUGGAUUUGUGCAGGAAAAGAAGGAACAACUUAAACUCCUGUAUCUUAUUUUGAUCCCAUGGAGUGUUAGUUAUUAUACUUCUUUACUAGAGUAUUUUCUAUUCUUAAAGUCCUUAUGGUCCAAAAAAAGGUAGUGGGAAAUAUUUUGAAAAACUUUUAUAGUAAUUUAGUGUAAAAGCUGCUUACUCUUUGAUUGAGGUUUCCCAUUUCCAUUUUUAAGCUUAUCUGAACUGUGAACAUGAUAAACUAAUGAUUCAUUGGUCAAGAAGCUACCAUCUGAGGGCUCUAAAGUUUCUUUUAGAUUUCCUUUUUUAUAUCAGUACAUAUAAAUUUUAAUUUUAUCAGGUAGCAGCAGCUUCUUUCCAUUGUUACAUACCAAUUAACUUAUUUUUAAAAUGUUAGUUAAAGCCCGUGCACCUACAUACAUAUUAAUCAAAAUCCAGUAUAUGAGAUUCUCUUUUCAAAAAAUUUAGUGUCUUGUUUUUAUGUUAUUUACUAUUUUUUUGCCAAUGAGCAUCAAAUUAAAAUUUUAACAUCCGUAAAUUAGGAUUAAAUUUUUUAAUCUUGUUUUUAAUAAUUAACUAACAGUGGAUGGUACUACAAUCACUGUGAACUUGUGAUUGAAAGAAAAUUUUCUGCUUUUAGUUUCAAAUUUACUUCCGGAAAUGAGUUUUCAGUUAAAAGCAAUCUUGGAAGUAAUUAAACAUUUUUUCAGUCAAAAAAAAUCCUUGUCUCUUUCUUUUUAUGUACAUGCUUUUUAAAAAUGUGGGCUGAAAGUAACAAUUUCUUGUGGGUUGCAGGAUAAGAUAAAAGUAAUGUUUAUUUUUCUAAACAAAAUGUUUUCUUUUAUAGAAAGGGUAAAUAAAAUAGAGAUGGUGGCCCAUGACAGAGAAAUCGUUGAAAAUCUAUGUCUGGCAAGCCCAAAUCUUUUUGGAGUUGGAAGUAGUAAAAAAUUAUAAUGUACUAUCUUCAAAUUGUGUAGUGAUCACAGAUAUAAUCACUCUAAAAGUUGAGGUUCUGAGGAUUGAUGGCCACUGUCUAAUGACUUCCCAAGGGUGGCUCCUUUGUUGUAUCCUUUCCCACAGCUCAUCCUAUGGCACCUUGAGCAACAGUCUUGGAGUCUGAAAAAGAAAGGAUAGUGUAAGAGUGGAGUAAAAUGCCGGGAACUGCCCUUAUAGUUCCUGUUUUAUAUAAAGGCUUCAGAAGGACUUUUAACAUAUCCUUGCGAAAUUGUAUUUGUAGUUUAUGUUAUAAAUCUGUUUACUUUAUAAUUCCUAAGGAGUGAGUUUGGUGCUCUUAGGGUGGGUACAUGAGCAAAAUGUUCCUUGAGGAUUCUUAUGCAUUGUGCAGCUAUUGUUUUCCUUACUUAAACAUCUAAAACCUCCCCUUCCUAAGGCAUACAUCAUUUUAUUAAACAUAAUUUUGCAUAGAUUGCUUUCUUUGGAAGAAUUAUGCAUAUGAUGAAAACCAGGUUUUCUUCUAUAAAGCUGUUUUUAAUUUUUGCAAAUGUAUUUACUACUGUUAUUAGUCAUAGUAACUUUGCUUUUGAGGACCUAAAUAGAAGAAAACUAAUUGGUUUUGAAAUAGUAGGGCUCAAAAAAUGUGAAAGAAGCGAUCGAUAUAUGGCACUAUCCCCACAAGUCACUGAGGAAGUAAUGGUUUGUUCACACUGAGGUAUUUUUCAAGGAAUUGAAUGACUUGGGACCAAACUAAUAACCAGGUUAACUUGGUAUUUAGUAUUUUGUCCAUUUUAUUAUUAUUUAUUUUUUAAGCCAAAGACUAGGAAGAAACAGUAAAAGCUAUAGGAUUACAAAGUCUUAGACUCAAAAAGAAUUUCGACAUCAUCUAGUCCAGUCUUUUUGUUCUGUAUAAAUAAAUGCUAAAUAAGGAAGAAAAGACAUAUGAAGUCCUGGUUAUAGGAAUUCUACUCAUAAUCUUGAAUUGAUUGAAUUGAUAGCUAAAAAGAAUGCGGCACAGUGGUUCUAGUCUUAGCUGCAUAGUUUUAUUGGCUUGCUCUGCUCUGAAUUUAUUUUUAUUUUAUUAAGUUUUAGAAAGAGGAAAAUAAAAUGACAUGCAGGAAAACAUUGCUCUUUUCCUUUGGCUAAGAUUAGUUAGUUUCCUUGUGAUGCAGUAGGUUACAUAUCCGGUAUCACUGCAGUGGCUCUGGUUGCUGCUGUGGCACAGGUUUGAUUCUUGGCCCAGGAACUUUUGCAUGCCGCAGGUGCGGCCAAAAGAUUAUUAAAGUUAAGAAAAGAAAAAGAUUAGCUAGGUAAUUUGUAGCUUUGUAUUAAAUAACUAUUCUCCUGGGUUAGAGCAUUAACCUAGCUAUCAGGAAACCUUGGUUCCAAUCUUAUUUACUAUGUAUCUUGAGUUAGUUCUGUUUUUCAUUUUCUAUUUGUAAAGUAUCUACCGCACUUUCAAAAAAUAAACAUUUUUUUUUUUUGUUCAAGAGCAGAUAUGAAAAGAAAGUAUCUUGUAGAUUGAUCCUAAGUUUCUGAAUAUGUGGAAUGAUAUAUAUGCAGAUAUUGUCUUGCCUAAAGGAAAUAGUUGUAAUUGCUUAAUUUUCAUCCGUCUGACAGGUGUUGCAAAGAAGCUUUGGCUCACGUUGUCUAAAUCAGCCCCAGUCUCUUCAUCAGCUGCUCUUAGAACAUGGAAGUGGAGGUUGCAUUCCUUCCCCUUGGCUUAGUCUCUGUGGGCCUUAUAUCACAAUCAGGGAGUAGAAAGACCUGAAGAACAGGCUUUAUCAUAGUCUUCUGCCAGUGGUCAUGAUAAUUAUAAAAAUAUAAGAAAACAAAAUGAUGUAGAAAAGUCCAUUUUAAACACACAAAAAAAGUGUUUAGUAUAUUUUAACAGUCAUAAAUAGGACUGUGAGAGGAAAACAUAAAUUCUGGAAUUAUGUCAUUUAAGAAUGGCUAUUCACCAAAGUGGGAGAGAAGUGCUGAUGAUUUCAGAGCAACAAAGCAAGGAGAGUUGAGAGGUGGUUUGAUUUUGAGGGAUUUAUAAAGCUUUAUAUUUUGGGUAGCAGAAGUAGGUUUGGAUAGAAAUGUUUGUUUUCUCAACAUAUUCAUGAAUUUAUUUGAGAAGCAAUGCUAAUAAGUAUGAAUAACCUGUGCAGUUCUGGAUUUUUUUUUUACUUUUUUGGAGGUAAUACCUUCAUAUGGUAAUUUCAAGGUUUUUCGUGAACAGAUAUCAUGACACUUAACCAUAAGCCAAAUUCUCUGGAUAUUAAGUGUCAUCCCUAACAUCCAGUCUUAAUAUUAUUUAGUGUUUAUGUGACAUUUGUAUUAGCAACUUAGAAGGAAUUUUGUAUCUAGUAGUUUAUGGGGUAUGUUAUGUUAAUUAGUGCUGACUUUUUGAAAGCUUUUCUAAUUUGGUGACUUCUGAAACGAUAGGUAGAGCACUGUAAACAUGGCUUUAUUAGUUUCCAUUGCCCUUACAUGAGUUUGUCACUCUGUACAAUUUGGUGCCUCUUACAUGAAUGAUGUGAUAAUUUCAGGAGUUGAAGGGGAAAAUUGCAUGUUAAAGACUACUUUAGACAAUACGGUAUCUUUAUUUCCUUCUCCCAUACUACUUUACAACUAGAGCCACUUUUUAAAAAAUAACAUUCCUUGGAAAUGGCACAUUCUUUGAAUCCAUUCUUUGGAUCCUAUUCUUUUUUUUACAGUAACUCAUGUAUCAGUGCCUUUAUAAGAAAUUAAAACUAUUUUCGGAGUUCCCAUUGUGGCUCAGUGGUUAAAGAACCCGACUAGUAACCAUGAGGUUGUGGGUUCAAUCCCUGGCCUCGCUCAGUGGGUUAAGGAUCCCGCGUUGCCCUGAGCUGAGGUGUAGGUAACAGACGCAGCUCAGAUCUGGCAUUGCUGUGGCUGUGGCCUGUGGCUACAGUCCAGUUGGACCCCUAGCCUGGGAACCUCCAUGUGCUGCUGGUGCAGUCCUAAAAAGAAAAAAAAAUUAAAACUGUAUUUUAAUAUUUCAAAAUGUACUAUGUCCAAAAUAAAGAAUUUUGCCCACUGUAUAUAAUGUGGCUUUUAGUCUGAAUAGUAAUAGAUACGUUUACAAUUUAAUAGAGUUAAAAUUGGUCAGACAGUUGUAUAUUCUUUGAACAAAAAAUUUUCAUAAAGGGGGAAAUCAGAGGUUAGAUGGGAAAAGAAAUCUAUGGCCAGGAUUUGACAGCAUACUUUUUCUUAUACUUUCAUCUCUCUUGCCUUUUUAUCCUUUGAGAAGAUCCUUAAAAUUCUAAAUAUGCUACUUUAUUAUUUUUAUUUCUAUUGUUAUUUUCAAUGACUUAACGAUAAGAGUAUUUGUAAUGGCAGUGGACAGAACCUAUAGUCUAAACUUUUGCUCAUUAACUCUUGAUGGUGAUCUGUUGUGAUGUGUUUCACAUUAAAAACAUGAGAAGUUCUUUAACUAUUUGAAGUGAAUUAAAAAAAAGUUCCCUGAAAUUUUGUUUUGAAGUCUCUUAACUCAGUUCUUACAAUUGAAAUUUUUGUUUUCCACUGCUAGUGGAAACUGCCCCUCGCCAUUCAGACUUUUGUAUUUAUGUAUGUGCUCAGGAUACAUUAUUCUUUUUUUGAGAUAGUUGACUAAGCCAGUUUCUAGGGUUUGUGAAGUGAAAUGUAAUGUUUUGUUUCUAACUGUUAUUCACAAUAUUAUGGACCUGAGCAGAUCCCGCUUCAACCACAGCAUAAUUCAUCUCUACAUACUUAUCCUAUAUCAAAGAAAAUUUAGAGCCCUCCAUUUUAAAAAGCUUUCUUGCUUUGCAUAAAUCUUGAAAGUAUUUAAUUUCAAAGUUAUAUUGAUAUUAAAACAUAGAUUCAGUCUUGUCUUAAAAGUGUAUUACAAUUCUUGCCAUUUUUGUGUAAAAUUUACAGAAAGAGUGUUACACCGUGCGCUCCAAAGGUAAUGUCUCAUUACUCUAAGGCUCUCUUUUUCUUUCUUUGCCUUUAUCUCUUUAAUCCUGUUGUUAUGUGCAUUGAACCAUUUUAAGAAAAAAAACUUUCUGCUUGAGCUGUGGCAGCAAUACAUAUAAAGCAAGUAUGUUUUAUUGUUCAUGGUUAAUCCUGGGAAGUAUAAUUUUAAUUUCAGUGGCUUGUUACUACCAAGUUUCCACACAUCUUGGAGACUGGGAUAAAUUGUAUAUGAUGGUUUAGAUCUCAUUUUAGUACAGAACUGUUAAUUUCUGUGUAAGGCCAAAAGCUGCUUUGUUAAUGGUAAAAACAAAAAACAAAACAAAAACGUAGAUUGUCUUUUGGAGUAACGUGGUGCUUUUCAGUUUCUAGGGUUUACAAGGUUUAAAUGAACCCUUGUGCAUAUAUUUUUAAAGCAGAUUAAUAAGAGGUGGGAAAAAUGCGAAAAUCAGCGUGUAAGUGACAGGAGAAAAUGGAAAUGUGAAAAUACUGAACGCUUUUCUAAUUUGAAAUGUUUUUUGUGUUUGCUUCUCCUUUAGGUAUGUUUUCAUAAGCAGUGUAUAAAACCUACAUAUUUGUUUAAGGUCUUUGGCCUUGAUAACAUCUUUAUUUACUGAGCAUAUGCCACUACUGCAUGGGUCUUUACAGCUGUUUAGUUUUGGAAAACCAAUACAAUUAAAAGUUGGUGGAAUGAAAUCUCUUUGUCCAUUUUAGUAAAAUUGAUUGGCUUGGACUGAGUAUACCAUUUCCCCCUGCCCUUUUGUAAACCCCUUUGGCAAUGCUCUCUGUUAAUCCAUGUUUAGUGUCAGCCCAGUAUCAUUAAGCCUGCUUUACAUUGGGUUUUCUACCCUCAGAAUGUAGUCAGAGAACCCCAGAGGGCUUCUUUUAUUAAGAUACUUUUGUUAUACUUAAUAUGUAUUCUAAGCCAAUUAAAGUAUAACUUUGUAUUUCUGUAUCCUGAAUUGGCAGGUGCUAGUAAUGAAAUUAAUUACCACACCAAUUUAGGCACAGCAGGCCUGUUGAAAUGUUAUGCCAUUGAAAAAAUUUUUUCUUGUCCUCAUUUGUUUUCUUUACUACCACAAUAAAGGACCAAGUUUGUCUUCAGUUUUCAUUUGAAUUAAAAACUUGAAUCUGUCAUAAGGGUAGUAAACCCAUCCUCUGAUUUUUAGAGUUUCAAGUAGUAUGUUGCUGCAACACUGUGGUUAACUCCAGUGUUUUAAUCUCUCCUUUUGCUUCAAAGCAGGUUUUGACAGAACUUCUAUUAGCCAAGGUGGCAAAUUUAAUUGGGUUCUGUGUUUUAAGAAAAUCUAUAGGCUUUUCCCCAGUACCAGAAGAUCUGAGGGUUAUGAGAGAAAGGAUUAAGGAAUGGAGAGGAAUGUGUCUAACCAAUAAAUAAUCCAUUCAUUAGAAGGAAUGAAGAGGAAUGUGUCUAAUCAAGAAAUAAUUCAUUUUCAUAAAUGCUACACAUUUGAGACUGAUCUCUUACAUUGUAGAACAUUUUUACAUUUAAAAUUUCACCUCUUUACAUCUUUCCUACAGUGGAAUCACUGUCUAGCUUAUGUACUAACUGAUUUCAUACUAUCUUCAGUGUGCUUGGUAAAGUUUUAAAAUUAUGGGAAACACAUUCUAUCUUAAAGUUAUUGUCCAGGGUAGUUUCUGGAUGCUCAUUUCACCAGUUUGCUAGAUUUUCUUUUACUUCUUUCUUCUGCCUGUUUUUAUUAAUUUUUACUGUUACAUUGGCUUGAAGAUCACUUCUUGAUCUUCUAAGGAAAGUUUGAGACCAGUAGGGUUUUUUUGGUCCUUUAGUAUUUAUUUGUUUAUUUUAAUUUUUAUUUUUUUCCAUUAUAGCUUGUUUACAGUGUUCUGUCAAUUUUCUUCUGUACAGUAAGGUGACCCAGUCACACAUACGUAUAUACGUUCUUUUUUCUCACAUGAUCAUGCUCCAUCAUAAGUGACUAGAUAUAGUUCCCAGUGCUAUACAGCAGGGUCGCAUUGCUAAUCCAUUCCAUAGGCAAUAGUUUGCAUCUAUUAACCCCAAAUUCCCAGUCCAUCCCACUCCUUCUCAGCCCCCACCCCUUUUUUUUUUUCAUUUUAGGGCCACACCUGCAGCAUAUGGAGGUUCCCAGGCUAGGGGUUGAAUCGGAACUGCAGCUACCAGCCUGUGCCGCAGCCACAGCAACAUAGGAUCCAAGCUUUGUCUGCAGCCUACACUGCAGCUCAUAGCAACACCAAAUCCUUAAUCCACUGAGCAAUACCAGGGAUCGAACCCUCAUCCUCAUGGAUACUAGUCUGGUUCAUUACUGCUGAGCCACAGUGGGACCUCUGAGAAUAGUAGUUUUAAAACUUAAGGUUACCUUUAAAGUUCUGGCACUUCUCAAGUUGAUAUUUUAAUUUUUUUUAACUAAAUUCUGUAGUGCUCUAACAAUUGAAUAUUCUUAGUGUAAGUAUAAGUGUUACAUUUCCUGGUAGAAUAAUAAUUUUUAACAUUGUUGUGAAGAUUAAAAUUGUGUUUUAUUGACUUACCUGUCUUAGAAUUGCCUUAAAAUGAAUGUAAGUGAUAUGGGAGCUUCUAGUACAAUUGACUACUUUAACAUGGCCAGUGACCUUUCUUUCAAAUACUCUUUCUCAUUCAUUUUUUGUUUUUGUUUUUUUGUCUUUUUAGGGCUGCUCUCCUGGCAUAUGGAAGUUCCCAGGCUAGGAGUCAAUUUGGAGCUAUAGCCACCGGCCUGUGCUACAGCCCUAGCCAUGCCAGAUCUGAGCCUUGAAUGUGACCUACACUACAGCUAGUAGCAACGCCGGGUCCUUAACCCACUGAGUGAGGCCAGGGAUUGAACCCGAAUUGUCAUGGAUACUAGUCUGGUUCUUAACCCUCUGAGUCACAACAGGAACUCCCCGCCCUUUUUUAAAGAUGCUUGUGAUAUAUACUUCUGAGUCUAGUUAUCUGCUUUUGAAUUUUUUUUUCCACUGCAAUUCACAUAGCCUGAAGAUAUGUGAAAAUGCUAUGGGAAAACUAGCUUGGAUUCAUAAUAUAUUAACCAGAUGUACCCCAUAGUUUCCCAAGAGUGACUAUCUGCCAGUUUGUGACUGUAGAAGAAACCGGUUGGGUGUUUGCUGGGCCAUGGAAAUUUAAAGUAUCUAUAGUGUUAUCCAUGAUUACUUAUUUUGCUGUCGCAAGUGUUGGCAAAUUGAAGGUUUGCUCCCUAUUUCAUUUUCAGAGUUGCUGUAUGUGGCAGAGCUUCACCUUAGGUGAAGGAGAGGGGGCAGGAAGUUCUGAAAACAGGACUCGUGAGGCUUGCUUCUGUCUGCCUGCCUAAAAGAUGGAGAGUGACUCAGUAUGAAAAAUAGCAAUAGAAGUCAUUUAAGUGUGUGGAGAAAGUGUCAAGUGUUGAUCAUACUUUUCUUUCCAUAGGGCAAAUCCUAGGUGUAUUUUAUUCUUGUUAAAUUAUCUUGAUAAAUUUUAAAUUUGUUUUUGUUGUUGUUUUGGAUUUGAGAGUAACUUUAAUUUUAAUAUAUAUUGUUGCUGUAUAUUUCAAAACUAUUUUAUAUAUAUUUAUAUAUAUAUAUAGUCUUCAUAUUGGAGAAAGAUAGGAUUUUAUAAUACGUUAUAAUCUGGAGGGUUUUUUCAAUCAGUAAAAUCAUUGCUGUUGCUGUUUUUAAGCUUAUUAAGUUUAAAUGUAUACCAUGUUUAACUUUUCCCCCUAUCUUUUUAUCUUUACCUCUUUGUCCUCUACACGCUGUGCUUUAAACCCUUGUGCUCUGUUCACCUGAACAUCUGGUUUUUGCCAUCUUCUUUGUGUUGAUGUUUGUUACACAGUACCACAAAACCUGCUCCGCACCUGGAUGGGGUGCAUGUUGUCUUUGGACUAGUUAUUUCUGGUUUUGAAGUAAUCGAACAAAUUGAAAAUCUGAAAACUGAUGCUGCAAGUAGACCUUAUGCAGAUGUGCGAGUUAUUGACUGUGGGGUGCUUGCCACGAAAUCAACAAAAGACGUUUUUGAGAAAAAAAAGAAGAAACCAACUCAUUCAGAAGUCUCGGAUUCCUCUUCCAAUUCCUCUUCCUCUUCAGAAUCAUCCUCAGAGAGUGAAAUUGAACAUGAGAGAAGCAGAAGAAGGAAACAUAAGAGGAGGCCAAAAGUUAAACAUUCUAAAAAGAGACGGAAGGAAGCAAGCAGUUCAGUAGAGCCAAGGAAUAAACAUAUGAGCCCAAAAGGUCACUCUGAGAGGAGUGAUACCAAUGAAAAACGGUCAACUGAUUUAAAUGCUAAGAGGGAAAAGCCUGUGGUCCGCCCAGAAGAGAUUCCUCCAGUGCCUGAGAACCGAUUUUUACUGAGAAGAGAUAUGCCUCUUGUCACAGUGGAGCCUGAACCGAAGAUUCCUGAUGUUACACCCAUUGUAAGUGAUCAGAAACCAUCUGUAUCAAAGUCUGGACGGAGGAUUAAAGGAAGGGGCACAAUUCGCUAUCACACACCUCCAAGAUCAAGAUCCUGUUCUGAAUCAGAUGAUGAUGAUAGCAGUGAAACUCCUCCUCACUGGAAAGAAGAAAUGCAGAGAUUAAGAGCAUAUAGACCACCUAGUGGAGAAAAAUGGAGUAAAGGAGAUAAGUUAAGUGACCCCUGUUCAAGCCGAUGGGAUGAAAGAAGCUUGUCCCAGAGAUCCCGAUCCUGGUCCUAUAAUGGAUAUUAUUCAGAUCUUAGUAUAGCAAGACACUCUGAUGGCCACCAUAAAAAACGCAGAAAAGAGAAAAAGCUUAAGCAUAAAAAGAAAGCUAAAAAGCAGAAACAUUGCAGAAGACGCAAACAGACCAAGAAGAAAAGGAUUAUUGUACCAUCUGACAUAGAAUCUUCAAAAUCAUCUACACGACGACUGAAAUCCUCCUGUGAUAGAGAAAGGCGAUCUCGUUCUUCCUCAUUGUCAUCUCAACAUUCAUCCAAAAGGGACUGGUCUAAAUCUGAUAAGGAUGACCAGAGCUCUUCAACCCAUUCCAGCAGAGACUCAUACAGAUCAAAGUCACACUCACAGUCUUAUUCUAGAGGAAGCUCAAGAUCAAGAACUCCAUCAAAAUCCUUAUCACAUUCUCGAAGUAGAUCAAAGUCCAGAUCUAGUUCAAAGUCAGGGCACCAAAGAAUAGCAUCAAAAUCACCAAGGAGAACAGCCUCUCAGUUAAGUGAAAAUAAACUUGUUAAAACAGAACCUUUAAGAGCAGCAGCAGCACAAAAUGAAAAUGUUGUAGUACAACCAGUGGUGGCGGAAAGUAUUCCUGUGAUACCACUGAGUGAUAGUCCCCCUCCUUCAAGAUGGAAGCCUGGGCAGAAGCCCUGGAAGCCGUCUUAUGAACGAAUCCAGGAGAUGAAAGCGAAAACAACCCAUUUGCUGCCUAUUCAAAGCACUUAUAGUUUAGCAAAUAUUAAAGAGACUGGCAGUUCAUCAUCUUACCGUAAAAGAGAGAAAAAUUCAGAAAGUGAUCGAAGUGCUUAUUCAAAAUACAGUGAUAGAAGUUCAGAAAGUUCACUAAGGUCAAGGAGCAGAUCUUCUAGGAGUAGAUCUUAUUCCAGAUCAUAUACAAGGUCACGAAGUCUAGCUAGUUCACAUUCAAGGUCUAGGUCUCCCUCAUCUAGAUCUCAUUCACGAAACAAAUACAGUGAUCACUCACGUUGUAGUAGAUCAUCUUCUUACUCUUCUGUUAGCAGUGAUGAUGGGAGACGAGCCAAGAGAAAAUUUAGAUCCAGUGGGAAAAAAAAUUACACUUCAAAUAAAAGGCACAGCAGCAGCUCUGAAAAGACACUUCGUAAUAAAUAUGUCAAAGGCAGAGAAAAGUCUUCAUGUCAGAGAAAGCAUAGCGAAAGCAGGUCAUCUUUAGAUUAUUCUUCAGACAGUGAACAGUCAAGUGUUCAGGUUACACAGUCAGCCCUGGACAAAGAGAAGCAGGCCCAGGUGGAAAUGAGUACUAAACAAGAGAAAAACAGAGUUGAAGAGAAAUCUAAGCCUGCACAGGAAUGCCCACGUACAAAAAAAAGAACUUUGAAAGAAAAUCUUUCCGAUCACUUUAGAAAUGGCAGUAAGCCCAAAAGGAAGAAUUAUGCUGGGAGUAAAUGGGACUCUGAGUCAAAUUCUGAACGAGAUAUAACUAGAAACAGUAAAAAUAAUUCCCGGCUAUCUUCUGAUAAAGAAGAAGGUGAGGCCACUUCAGAUUCUGAGUCAGAGUUGGGUGAAAUUCAUAUCAAAGUCAAACCCACAACAAAGUCUUCAGCAGAUACUUCACUAACUGAUGAUAACAGUGGUUGGAAAUCAAGCAAACAGCCGUCAUCAACCUCUGAUUCUGAGGAGUUCUAUUCCAAUUCAGAAAACACUAGAGGAAAGCCACAUAAGCACAAACACAGCAUAAAGGAGAAUCUGAAAAGGGAACACACCAAAAAAUCGAAAGAGAAAUCGAAAGGGAAAAAAGACAAAAAGUACAAGGCUCCAAAACGCAAACAAGCAUUUCACUGGCAGCCUCCAUUAGAAUUUGGUGAAGAAGAAGAGGAGGAGAUUAAUGAAAAACAAGUUACUCAGGAAUCAAAAGAGAGAAAACAAAUUUCUGAAAACAGUGAAACCACAAAAGAAAAUAUUCCCCCAACUAAGAAACCCUGUGAGAACAGCAGCCUUUCAGGUAAACAUAAUACAGUAGCAGUUUCAUCAGAUAUUGAUCAGUCUACCAGAGAUGAGAGUAAACUCAGCAUUUCUCCCAUAGCUUUAAAUGCUGAAGAAAAUGUACUCAGUUCUCCCUUGAACAUUCAGCAUUUUGAAGAGAUUGUCCCAAGUGGAGCAGAGGAUGUGUUUCAGACAGAUGACAACAUGGAAAUAUGCACUCCUGACAGGAGUUCCCCAACAAAGGUUGAGGGAGCUUCCCCUCUGGGAAGUUCAAGGCUUGACACUUCAGACAUAAAUAUUGUUCUAAAACAGGAUAUACCAACAGAGCAUCCUGAGGCAGAGGUAGGAAAACAGGAAAGCAGCAUGUCAGAAAGCAAAACAGAGAGUGAAGUGGGAAAACAAGACAGCAGCUCUGCCACCUUGGCCAGUGCUGUAGAAAGCACUAUGAAGAAGGAGGUGGCCGAGAAAAGCCAGACCAGCCUCAUGGAUAAUAAAUGGAAGCCCCUGCAAGGUGUAGGGAACCUGGUAGCAUCAGCUGCUACCACAUCCAGUGCUGUAGAUGUAAAGACAUUGACUACUGUGCCUGAAAUGAAACCACAAGGCUUAAGAAUAGAAAUUAAAAGCAAAAAUAAAGUUCGGCCUGGGUCUCUCUUUGAUGAAGUAAGAAAGACCGCACGCUUAAACCGGAGGCCCAGAAAUCAGGAGAGUUCAAGUGAUGAGCAGACGCCUAGUCGGGAUGGUGAUAGCCACUCCAGGAGUCCAAGUAGAUCUCGAAGUAAAUCUGAAACCAAAUCAAGGCACAGAACAAGGUCUGUCUCCUACAGUCACUCAAGAAGUCGCUCGAGAAGUUCCACAUCAUCCUCUCGAUCAAGAAGCUACUCUAGAAGUCGGAGCAGAGGGUGGUACAGCAGAGGUCGCACAAGAAGCCGGAGCAGUUCCUACCGCAGUUACAAAAGUCAUAGGACAUCCAGCAGGAGCAGAUCCAGGAGCAGCUCAUAUGAUCCCCACAGUCGGUCCAGGUAUGGACAGGGAUUGGGUAUAACCACCUGCAGGGGCAGAAUUAAAAGGCCUAGUUUUAUAAAACCCUUAAUUCCCUUUUUUAAAAUGUUGUGUUUUAUGGGAGUUCCCUGGUGGCUCAGUGGGUUAAGGAUCCGGCUCGUCACUGCUGUGAUUCAGGUCACCGCCUGUGGCGCGGAUUCAAUCCCUGGCCCUGGAAAUUCCACAUGCUGCAGACACAGCCAAAAAAAAAAAAGUGUAUUUUAUUGAAAAACAUGUUUUUGUCCUUUUAAACUCUUUUUAUCUGUCAGCCCAUUGUACUCUAGUGUCAAAAGUGACAGUUGAUGUAAAAUUGUAAUGACAGGUAUUUAUUGACUAUAAUUGCCUAGUAAUAUCCACCAGAUUCAAUUAAACUAAAUCAGUGUUAAUUUUGUGAUAUUUUUUAAUGCAGAAAAGAAAUUAACAUUUUUCUGUUUAAUAUGGUAAGUCUAAUUUGGGGCAGUUGUUAAAUGUUUCCAGUACUUGUUAUGCAGACAUGUCUUCAUUACUGUCAUAUAGCAUCCAUGUUCUAAGAGGACAUUUGAGAUCCUAAAAAGAAAUGGGAAUAUAUGAGUAUUCGAAUGGGAAAAUUUAGUGUUUGUUAUUACUGUUAAAGCAGGUCCUACACUUAUGAUAGCUACUAUAGCAGGAGUCGGAGCCGAAGUAGAAGCCAGAGGAGUGACAGUUAUCACCGAGGCAGAAGCUACAAUAGGCGGUCCAGGAGUUGUAGAUCCUAUGGCUCUGACAGUGAAAGUGACCGAAGUUACUCUCAUCACCGGAGUCCCAGUGAAAGCAGCAGAUAUAGUUAAAAGUGUCCCCUUUCUUUUUUUUUUUUUUUUGAUACAAAUUAUAUCUUAAUUUGUAAAUAUCUGGUAACUUAAAAGUUUAAGAAACUUAAUGGCAGUCUGUUGUUCUGUUUCAAUAUUAGAGACAAAUUUGAAAAAUAGACACUUCUUAAUUAUUACUCAUUCAUUUAUAUAUGCACAGGAUUUAAAAUACAGAUACGUCUCCUAAAAAUAUUUGUAUGCCACACUUUACAGCCAACUAUGGAAAUGAAUUUCAUUUUCUUGAAUCAAGAAAUCAUGAAAUUUAAUUAUAAUUCGCAAUAUUAUUUUAGAUAGACUAUUUUCUCCAUCUCAUGUAUUUCCUAGAAAACAGAUUCUUUUUGCCCAUUUUCCAGGUUUUGGCAUGUAUGCUGCUAAGCAAAGAACUGUGAAGGAGAACUGAUAAAGGUGGCCAGAUAUUUGUAUACCAUUUUCACAGAGUCUUAUACAUAUGUGCUCUUAAAAACAAACCACCCAGCACUGACACUAAUGGUAGCCAGGAGUAUAAGGCAGUGGCUCUGGGGUUCUUAAUUCAUUGCUUUUUUGACUCAGAGGAUCAGGAAAGUGGUCACCAUACAGCCUGCUGUCUGUAUUAUUUCAGGCUGGCGGGUGAGGGUAAGAAGAAUAAAUCAGCCUUAACUAUAAAUACCUGCACUGUCUCUAAGGCCCUGAUGUUUUAUGUGCUUUUUAAUAAAUACUAUGAGAAGUUCAGUUUGUUAAAAAAAUAAUUCUAUUCCAGUUUCUGCUUUGGUGCUUGGUACCUUUUGGUGCCUCUUUAAGCAUUAUUCUUAUAUACUAUACAUUAAAAUUCCGUAAGAGAGAGAAAUGAUUUUUUUUUAAUUCACUGGCACCAACAUGGUUCCUUCUGAGCUAUAUUCACUUCUAAUAUUUGGAGGGCUGGAGUUCCUGUCUUGGCGCAGCAGAAACAACUCCGACUAGGAACCAUGAGGUUGCAAGUUCAAUUCCUGGCCCUGCUCAGUGGGUUAAGGAUCUGGUGUUGCCGUGAGCUGUCGUGUAGGUCACAGACGUGACUCGGAUCCUGUGUGGCUGUGGCUGUGGCAUAGGCCAGCAGCUGCAGCUCUGAUUAGACCCCUAGUCUGGGAAUCUCCACAUGCCUCGGGUACGGCCCUAAAAAGCAAAAAAAAAAAAAAAAAAAAAAGUAUUUGGAGGGCUUCUCUCAAGCACAGGUGUGGGCUGGAGGGUCCUGGAGCAGGCAGGAUUGGCAUGGGGCUGUGUGGCGACUCCUGUGUGUGUGGUCCUAGAAGAGUCUAUUGGAGAAUGGACCUCAAAAGUAACACCGAGAUCUACCUGCCACCACCCUGGACACAUUUUUGCAGGGCUUUAUUUUUUUAAGUCUUUCAUUUUAGAGAUAGACAACAAGGGCAGUCAAACUGUUCUAAGCACCUGCCAGCAUGUUUCCCUGUCUGCCAUGGCCCAGUGAAGCCUUAUGUGACAUGGUAAACCUGGAACAACAGACAAGGCAAGUAGGGUGUGCGGUACUGCAUAAAUUACACAUUUUCACAGUCUUGGGUGGUUCCUGCAAAGAUGAUUUGACCUAUAAAAACUGGUGAGAUUUUUUUUUCAUCUUUAGUUUGAAUUUUUUCCCCAAGUGUACUUAAUCACCUUAGUGCCAGUUUAAUCCAGUUAUGCAGAAAUCAUAAUGGAUGUUUAAUGCAGAACUCUGUGCCAUCCUACUCCAGGCCCUUCCUGGUGUACUUGGGAAGUGGGAAAGAGCCCUCAGUUGGAGGGAUCUGAUCACUCCUGAUGGAUGGAGGGGUGACCUUGGAUGUAUUAAAACCCUCACCCUUAAAAGGUUAAUAAACAGGGUUAAGUGACCAGUUGUUUGCCAAGUUGAUAGCUGAGAAUACCUUAGAUAAUAGGACUUAAGUCAAACAAAUGUACUUUGUAGUGAAUGCAAAAUAGUGUGAUUCAUAUGAAGAGUUUUCAGAGGUUGCCUGCAGAGGGGAAUAUUGCUUUAGUAAUACUCAGUGAAAAAAACUGCAUUUCAAACCCAAAUAAUAACUGCCAAAUCUAAUUACAAUAAGAAGAGUUAUCUUUGGGCAUUGUGUUAGUUUUCUAUUGCUGUGUAACAAAUUACCCCAAAUAAUAACAGCUUAAACCAGCACUCACUUCUUAGCUUACAGUUCUGUAGCUCAUGAGUCCAGCACUAUGGCUGGAUUCUCUGCUCAGGGUCUCACAAGGCUGAAAUCAAGGGUCAGCAGGGCAGGAUUCCUUUAUGGAGGCUCUGGGGAAGAAUCUGCUUCUAAGUUGAUUCAGGUUGUCGGCAGUAUUCAGUUCCUCGCUGGCUGUCAGCCGGGGGCCUCUCUCUCAGCUCCGUAAGGCUUCUCGAAUUCCUUCUUGUGUGUUCCCCUCCAUCCUCAAACCAGCAGUCAAGACCUUCUUAUGCUUCAGACCUCUCUGCCUUCCUCUUCUUUUAAAGUUUGUGUGAUUAGAUCAAACCUGCUGAGAUAGUCUCCCUAUAUUAAGGUCAGCUGUGCCAUAGAACAUACCAUUAUCACAGCAGUGAUGUAUUCACUGGGAUUGGGGCAUGAAAUAGGAGGGGUAUUUUACAAUUCUGCCUCCCACAGGCAGUAACUCUGCCCAUCACACUAUGGGUGGAAUUUUCUCCUGAAAAGGUGGGCCCUAGAAGCCUCAUUUGUUUUCUCCAUGGAAAAGAACAGCCCUCAGCUGCAGCAUUCAACUUGUGUGUUUACUGAAUGGACUACAGAAAUAGCUUUUCUUCCUAAAGGGGAUUAUUCUGUAUUUUAAGUUAUUUUUUAAUAAAAUUUAAUUAUGUUGUGUAUUGUGCUUCUUAACAGAAAAUGCAUUAUUGGACUCUUUUUGUAAUGUCCUGUUUACUGCACAUGAAACGUGAUAUAGCUGGUAUUGUUCAAAAACUGUAGAAAAUACUUUUGUACAUGUUGGUAAUGUCUAAUUUGUAUACACUUCAUUUAAAUUUCCCUAAAACUUGAAAGGGGGACCUUGUAGAAAUUAAAAUAUAUACUUAGUCUUAA